rnacentral:rRNA from 1 species
AUACGGAGGAUCCGAGCGUUAUCCGGAUUUAUUGGGUUUAAAGGGUGCGCAGGCGGGAGAUUAAGUCGGCGGUGAAAUUUUGCAGCUCAACUGUAAAAGUGCCUUCGAAACUGGUUUCCUUGAGUGUAGAUGAAGUUGGCGGAAUUUGUGGUGUAGCGGUGAAAUGCAUAGAUAUCACGAGGAACUCCGAUUGCGCAGGCAGCUUACUAAACUACUACUGACGCUCAGGCACGAAGGCGUGGGGAUCAAACAGGAUUAGAUACCCUGGUAGUCCACGCAGUAAACGAUGAUUACUAGCUGUUUGCGAUACAAUGUAAGCGGCUGAGCGAAAGCGUUAAGUAAUCCACCGGGGGAGUACGUUCGCAAGAAUGAAACUCAAAUGAAUUGACGGGG